rnacentral:rRNA from 1 species
AGUGCGUUCCAUUAGCUUGUUGGCGGGGUAACGGCCCACCAAGGCGACGAUCAGUAGCCGGCCUGAGAGGGCGGACGGCCACAUUGGGACUGAGACACGGCCCAGACUCCUACGGAAGGCAGCAG